AUUGAACGCUGGCGGCAUGCCUUACACAUGCAAGUCGGACGGCAGCACGGGUGCUUGCACCUGGUGGCGAGUGGCGAACGGGUGAGUAAUACAUCGGAACGUACCUUAUCGUGGGGGAUAACGCAGCGAAAGCUGUGCUAAUACCGCAUACGCCCUGAGGGGGAAAGCGGGGGAUCGAAAGACCUCGCGCGAUUAGAGCGGCCGAUGCCUGAUUAGCUUGUUGGUGGGGUAAAAGCCCACCAAGGCGACGAUCAGUAGCUGGUCUGAGAGGACGAUCAGUCACACUGGGACUGAGACACGGCCCAGACUCCUACGGGAGGCAGCAGUGGGGAAUUUUGGACAAUGGGGGCAACCCUGAUCCAGCAAUGCCGCGUGAGUGAAGAAGGCCUUCGGGUUGUAAAGCUCUUUUGUCAGGGAAGAAACACCGGCUCUAACACAGUCCGGGAAUGACGGUACCUGAAGAAUAAGCACCGGCUAACUACGUGCCAGCAGCCGCGGUAA
rnacentral:rRNA from 1 species